UGGGACUGCGGGGAACAGCAUGUCACCAUGCGAACGGACCUUCAGGGUAUAAGAACAUCACUUAUCUGCGCCUGGAAUGGUGUGGAGAAGGUGCUGGCUGAUGGGAGAUAGGGGCAGGCGUGUCUGAAAGAAGAGCUUUUCCUCGCUAAGUGUUGUGGCAGCAGCUCCCUCCUUUCGGUAAGUUGUUUUGAGAUUUAGCUCUAAUGGACACCUGUCAGAACAAGGGUGGCGGUUUUGGGAAAUCGAAAUAUAAGCGCAAGGAAUGUGUUUACGUGCAUGUCCUGCCAAAUCUAAAGGGUUCGUGGUAGUACUGGCUUUACAUAAAUACAUGGGUGCGUCCCUAAUCUCGAGGUAGCCGUGAGCCGCCAUUGUCUAUGCUGGCUAGGACUGAUGGGAGCUGGGAGCCCCCACAGCAGCUGAAAGGCCACAGCUUCCCCAUCCCUGUUCUAGAGGAAGAGGCAGUGACAAUGGCUCUUGCAGGCAUUUGCUUAGAGGAAAGAUCUUUCUAUUCUGUCCUGUUGCUUUGCUCUUACAAGUCUGCCUUCAGUUGCAGGGAGAAGUGAGGCCUCAGUUUUAGACACCAUGUACUCUGGAAGCAGGACACGGGUGGCGCUGUGGGUUAAACCACAGAGCCUAGGACUUGCCGAUCAGAAGGUCGGCGGUUCAAAUCCCCGCGACGGGGUGAGCUCCCAUUGUUCAGUCCCUGCUCCUGCCAACCUAGCAGUUCGAAGGCACGUCAAAGUGCAAGUAGAUAAAUAGAUACCGCUCUGGCGGGAAGGUAAACGGUGUUUCCGUGCGCUGCUCUGGUUUGCCAGAAGCGGCUUAGUCAUGCUGGCCACAUGACCCGGAAGCUGUACGCCGGCUUCCUCGGCCAAUAAAGCAACAUGAGCGCCACAACCCCAGAGUCGGUCACGACUGAACCUAAUGGUCAGGGGUCCCUUUACCUUUACCUUUUACUCUGGAAGCAGAGUACAGAGUACAGAGCCAUCAAAGUCUCAGACCCUGAUAAUGAAAAGGAUGGAUCCAGAACCCCUAGCAAUUCUCUCUCAGGGAAAGGGGAAUAGUUCAAGCCAGUAUUUCUCACUUGGGCUGUGACCUUCAAGUGUGUCACAGGCUAUAUAAGUAAACUCAAAAUAGUUACUGCUUGGAAGCCUUAGCUGGUAUGAUGAAUCUCUUGCGCGACUUUUUGUUUUGUUUGCAUACGUAUGACAAAACUGCUUUCAUGCUUGUAACCAAACUGCAGAUAGGCUUGAGUCUUGCAUAUUAACUCCUGUCUGGCAGCUGGACUAUAAUUUGGUCUUUUUUAUUUUAGUUUUUUAUUUUAACUGGAGUAUUAUGAUUGGAUAUAUUAAUUGAAUGUUUUUUUAUUGGAAAAUCAAUAAAAAUCAAUAAAAUCAAUAAAAACCACAGAGUGGGCCAGCAAAAGGUGCUCAGAGAGGGACCCACCCUGAGUGACCACCACCACAGCUUGCCUUUGGUACCUGCUGCGGCAGUCAUUCAAAAUGACUCCCUGCACCACCAGCAAAUCACCACUGGAUUUUCUGCCAGGGUUAGUCAGUAGUUAAGCAAAGGCGGUUUGAAGUUCUUCAGAUCUAACACUGCUUGUGUAACUGUAAUGUUUUUAGAAUACAUUUUUUUAUAGCUUAUGAAGCAAUAACCCACAACCAGGUGGUUGGUGUUCUUGCAUACCCAUAAACAAAACUGUGAAUAACUUUGUAAGCAUUAUAAAUAGUUCAACGAAUUCCACAUUAAUAGGGGCAUUAAGUUCAUAUUUUGCUAGGAUGUCUCCAGUAAUGGUUAUAAAAGAGGCAUCUAAAAUGCAUGAAACUGACAGCUGCCACAGACCAGUGAUCCAAAAUCCGUAUGAACAUAAGAAGAGCCCGCUGGAUCAGGCCAAUGCCCCAUCUAGUCCAGCAGCCUAUACUCAUAGUGGUCAAAUAGAUGUCUGUGGGGAAACCCGCAAGCAGGAUUCGAGCACAAGAAGACUCUCCCCCUCCUGCAGUUUCCAGCAACUGGUAUUCAGAAGCAUUACUGUCUCUGACCGACGAGGUAGAAUAUAACCACUGAUAGCUUUAUCCUGUGAAUCUGGCUAAUCCUCUUUUAAAGUCAGUCAGCUUGGUGGUCAUCACUGCCUCCUGUGGGAGCAAGUUCUGUUGUUUAACUACGUACUGCCUGAAGAAACACAUUUUUUUAAUCUUCCUCUGAAUAUUCUAACGUUCAGCUUCAAUGAAUCAAUGGGUCAUCAUCCCAAGUAAAUUUGGUCUUGUGGACCACCAUACUAAAAAGGCUGGGAAUCACUGCUUUGAACUUUAGAACAGUGAAGGCAGCUGGGGCUUGUAGCUGCCUCCUUGCUUCUCCUGCCUUAACAGGAGAUUCAGAGAAGACUGCUUUCCAAGUCAGACCCUGCUAACUCUGCCUAGUGUCUCCACUUGGUUCGUUUGCUCCUGAUGGAUGCUAUUUUUACUCUGUCAAGUUAAGACUCGGAAGCCAUCUUAGAUGCUCAUGGAACCACCUAAGUCAGGCAUGUCCAAAGUCCGUUACAGGGGCCUAAUCGGGCCCGCCAGUCAGCUUAAUCCGACCCCUGUGGCAGUUUAUUUCCUGAGGUAAAAUCCUAAAAAAACCCUUCAACCCUAAAAAAAGUUAAACAACUUCAAUUCUAAAAAAAAAAAGCUAAACAACUUUGGUCAGCCCUCACGGCCCUUCCCUUCAUCAAAUCUGGCCCUCUUUGAAAAAAGUUUGGAUACCACUGACCUAAGUUAUGUGUGGGCACAGCAGAAGGAACAGGGAAUUCAUAAACAUUUCUGAAAGUUAUCUGAAAAGGGCUUGGUAUUAUUUUUGUAUUUUUCUCUAAGGGGAUUCAGGGUUUUUUGGGUGUUGCUCAGGAAAACACAAGCAAGCCAUGGCUGCAACAGUUAAUUUGCUUUAUGGAAAUGCUAUUGCCUCAAGAUGUAUUUUCCACAGGACUCUCCACUUUUCCUCCUCUUUGCCAUAAGGAGGCUUGAAAGGCCUCUAUUACUUAGCAACCAAAGCAAUUAAAGCAACGUAGUUUCCCUCAGGUUCAGGUGGGUGAGGGAAGAUUGCUAGAGAUGUGUGCCGUUUUUUAUUAUGAUGCUAUUUUAUAAGGUCCUGUUGACAUGCAGAUGAAUGGUCAGGAAUCUGGGUAGGUCUUUCCCACCUUUUCGGAAUGGAUAAUGGUGACUGCAUUUUUGGAUCUAUUGCUCAGCAACAUCAAGUACUUUGAACCAGAUAAGCUGCACAUUUUGAAAACAACCCUUUCCACGCUUCAGAACAUCCCAAGAACACUUAAGGUUCAAAGAAAAAGAUCAACUUGCGGUAUUUGCUACAAGGCUAUGCUGACAGCCAAUAGCUCAGAUGAGGUCCAAAUGGAUUUGAUAUAAGCAACGGCAGCUAAAUACGGAACAUCUCUUUUUAGAGGUGGAGCACCUCUGAUUUCCACUUGCUUGGGGGCAACCAUUCAAACCUUAACCUAAAUUCAGUAAGGCAAGCAGUCACCAACCUUUUGGGGCCAUUGGGCACAUUUGGAGUUUUGAGAAAAUGCUGUAGGUGCCAGUCAUGAAAUGGUGGCCACUUCUAAAUAAGCAGAAAGAGAGACCAAACCUCUAGACUGGUGACUGGGAGCGGCCACCGAGACCACAUAACACCAGUCUUGAAAGACCUACACUGGCUCCCAGUACGUUUCCAAGCACAAUUCAAAGUGUUGGUUUUAAAGCCCUAAAUGGCCUCAGUCCAGUAUACCUGAAGGAGCGUCUCCACCCCCAUCGUUCUACCCGGACACUGAGGUCCAGUGCCAAGGGCCUUCUGGCAGUUCCCUCGCUGCAAGAAGCCAAGUUACAGGGAACCAGGCAGAGGGCCUUCUCGGUAGUGGCGCCCGCCCUGUGGAACCCCCUCCCACCAGAUGUCAAAAAGAAAAACAACUACCAGACUUUUAGAAGACAUCUGAAGGCAGCCCUGUUUAGGGAAGCUUUUAAUGUUUAAUAGAGGGACGCAGGUGGCGCUGUGGGUUAAACUACAGAGCCUAGGACUUGCCGAUCAGAAGGUCCGCGGUUCGAAUCCCCAUGAUGGGGUGAGCUCCCGUUGCUCGGUCCCUGCUCCUGCCAACCUAGCAGUUCGAAAGCACGUCCAAGUGCAAGUAGAUAAAUAGGUACCGCUCCAGCGGGAAGGUAAACGGCAUUUCCGUGCACUGCUCUGGUUUGCCAGAAACUGCUUAGUCAUGUUGGUCACAUGACCUGGAAGCUGUACGCCGGCUCCCUCGGCCAAUAAAGCGAGAUGAGCGCCGCAACCCCAGAGUCGGUCACGACUGGACCUAAUGGUCAGGGGUCCCUUUACCUUUACCUAGACUAUUGUAUUUUAAUAUUCUGUUGGAAGCCUGCCAGAGUGGCUGGAGAAACCCAGCCAGAUAGGCAGGGUAUAAAUAAUUUAUUAUUAUUAUUAUUAUUAUUAUUAUUAUUAUUAGUGAAGGAAGAGGCAUCUCGCUUGUGCUCUGUGCUUGCUUGCACAGAGACUUUUUUUGCACUUUCCCACUGUUUAGAAACAGAAGGGAAGGUGGGUGUUCAGUCCUGGCAUCCAGUCAAAUAUGGACAUGUUUAAUGGGCUAUGUUUAAUGUAGGAGAGGCCAAGCCAGGUCAAACAGCAGCUGAGCAGGAAGAGCAAGCAACCUCUUGUGCACUGUGAAUUUUUGAAGGGGUGCUUACUGAGACGAUAGAAAGUACUGGUGGGCACAAUGGCAAAGGACUGGUGGAGUGAGACAGAUCUUUCAGAAGCAAGCGGAACCUCAAGAUUUUGUGGGAGUUCCCCACUUUCAUCCAAAAUAAAAAUUUUAAAAACCCUGAUGCAUGUUCUCCUUGGCCAGAACAUCAAGGUGUGGCCUGAAUUCCACCUUGGCGUUUAGCGCUGAACAACAGCAACGCUUAAGUUCAGUAAGUGAAUAAGCCCCCCCUUUUUUAUUUCCAAACAUAUUCAGCUGAAGAUACACUAUCCAGGACACAUGUCCCAUUUACAUCCUAAAAAGAAACCCCAGGAAGCAUUUAAUGCUCAGUCCUUUGGCAAAAACCCUCUGAGAGAAUGCAGGGACAAUUAAAACUGAAUGCUUGAUGGCUUUCAUCAUGCUUUCAUUUUUUCCGGAUAGCAUUAAAAUAUGUCACUGUUAAUUGUAGCAGGCUAUAUUUCCCCCCUGACAGUGCCUUUCACUUAGCAUUUGAUGAAAGGAUUUUUAAAAAAUCAUAUAUUUUUGCUAUGGAGUGGUGUGUGUGUGUGCGCGCGUGCGCUUUCCUCAGGACAAUGAUGAUGCUUUACAUUUCCAUGUGCUGUACUUGAUUAAAUUGCUGCACGCAAUAACCACGCCAUACUCUCAGCCCCCUGAGAGUUUAUUCUCUCUAGUCAGCCAUGCACACCAUUCACCAUAUAGUAAAGUUUCUGUAAGUAAGAAGAAGAAGAAGAGUUUGGAUUUGAUAUCCCGCUUUAUCACUACCCGAAGGAGUCUCAAAGCGGUUAACAUUCUCCUUUCCCUUCCUCCCCCACAACAAACACUCUGUGAGGUGAGUGGGGCUGAGAGACUUCAGAGAAGCCUGACUGGCCCAAGGUCACCCAGCAGCUGCAUGUGGAGGAGCGGGGAAGCGAACCUGGUUCCCCAGAUUACGAGUCCACUGCUCUUAACCACUACACCACACUGGCUACCUUUAACAAAGCUCAUUCAUAGCAGGAAAGCACGCCUUGAUUUAAGAAUGCUUUGGUUUAAGAACGGACCUCCGGAACGGAUUAAGUUCGUAAACCAAAGUACCACUGUAAUUUGUUUUAACUGUAAGAACACGACUACCUUUAACGAAGCUCAUUCAUAGCAGGAAAGCUUCCAUCCAUGAACCGUUUUGUAGUAAAAGGCUCAUAUCCCCAUCUCCUUCUUUUUAAUGCCUGAAAUAAACAGUCAAAGGUAACCCUAGAAGUACCAUAUUCUUGCUCCUUUCUUGCUACUAUGCUGCUAGGAGCUGUACAUAAUAUACACCAGACCAAGGGCUAAAAUACAUGUGACAUGAAAUGUGUAAAUGCAUUUAUGUGCCUGUUUUUCCUGUAAUAAUAGCAAUCACGGGAACAAGGGGUGAGCAGGAUCAGGACCACAGCACAAGGGAAGGGGAUAUUUAACCCUUUUGUCUUGCUGACAAUUGCCCUAAGCUGUUGUUGUUGUGUUUAUUACCUGCCCUUCACCAGCAGGUCCCAGGAUAGGUUGCAACAAUUUUAUAAUUCCGAAUUUGUUGUUGUUUAGUCGUUUAGUCGUGUCCGACUCUUCGUGACCCCAUGGACCAGAGCACGCCAGGCCCUCCUGUCUUCCACUGCCUCCCGCCGUUUGGUCAAACUCAUGCUGGUAGCUUCGAGAACACUGCCCAACCAUCUCGUCCUCUGUCGUCCCCUUCUCCUUGUGCCCUCCAUCUUUCCCAACAUCAGGGUCUUUCCCAGGGAGUCUUCUCUUCUCAUGAGGUGGCCAAAGUACUGGAGCCUCAGCUUCAGGAUCUGUCCUUCCAGUGAGCACUUCCAGUGAGCAUUCCAAAUUUUAAAAAGUUAAAACAAAUUACAGUGGUACUUUGGUUUAUGAACUUAAUCCGUUCCGGAGGUCCGUUCUUAAACCAAAGCAUUCUUAAACCAAGGCGUGCUUUCCCAUAGCGGGGGAACUCAAUUUACAAACGGAACACACUCAACAGGAAGCGGAACAUGUUCUGCUUCCCAGGCAAAGUUCACAAACCAAAACACCUACUUCCGGGUUUGCAGUGUUCUUAACCCAAGUUGUUCAUAAACUAAGCUGUUCUUAAACCAAGGUACCACUGUACAGUCACAGGAACAGGGUGUGUCCUGAAAACAAACAUCUCAAGUAUCAAAGGCUAGGGUAAAGAGGUGUGUCUUUAUCAUUCAGAGAAAGUAGUGUAGCGAAGGUGCCAGGCACACCUCUAUGAGGAAGAAAUUCCAGAAUGUAGGGGCUGCCACAAAGAAUGCCCAUUUCCAUGCCAUUAGACACACACUGAACUUCGGGGAGGGGUGUAGAACUACCCCCCCUUUAACACCUGAGAGAGUCUGUAGGGAACAAGGCAGUCUCUCAGAUAUUUGAGGUAUUAAGUUGUUUAGGGCAUUAAACACCAGCAGCCCGAGCACUGUCAAUUGGGCCUAGAAACAAAUACAGGAGAAGGCAUAUAAAAUCUUCAUUUAGCCAACGCUUUCCCCCUUUCUUUCUCUCACACAGGAAAGACUGACUUUUCAAGAUGGUACGUUCUGCUACAUAUACAAGCUACAAGCAAAAUUCCCCUCCGUGCAUG